AUGACGGCCCUAUGGGUUGGUAAACUAGCUUUUGUUACGGGAAGAAACCCCACUACGUGUAGUGGGUUGACGGUACUGUAAGAAUAAGGAUCGGCUAACUUCGUGC
rnacentral:rRNA from 1 species